rnacentral:rRNA from 1 species
AGUUGGUGGAGUGAUUUGUCUGGUUAAUUCCGUUAACGAACGAGACCUCAGCCUACUAAAUAGUGACGCGGAUCCUGGAUUCGCGGCGCACUUCUUAGAGGGACUAUGUGCGUUUAGCACAUGGAAGUUUGAGGCAAUAACAGGU